rnacentral:rRNA from 1 species
ACUGGGCGUAAGCGCACGCAGGCGGUCUGUUAAGUCAGAUGUGAAAUCCCCGGGCUUAACCUGGGAACUGCAUUUGAAACUGGCAGGCUUGAGUCUCGUAGAGGGGGGUAGAAUUCCAGGUGUAGCGGUGAAAUGCGUAGAGAUCUGGAGGAAUACCGGUGGCGAAGGCGGCCCCCUGGACGAAGACUGACGCUCAGGUGCGAAAGCGUGGGGAGCAAACAGGAUUAGAUACCCUGGUAGUCCACGCCGUAAACGAUGUCGACUUGGAGGUUGUGCCCUUGAGGCGUGGCUUCCGGAGCUAACGCGUUAAGUCGACCGCCUGGGGAGUACGGCCGCAAGGUUAAAACUCAAAUGAAUUGACGGGGGCCCGCACAAGCGGUGGAGCAUGUGGUUUAAUUCGAUGCAACGCGAAGAACCUUACCUGGCCUUGACAUCCAGAGAACUUAGCAGAGAUGCUUUGGUGCCUUCGGGAACUCUGAGACAGGUGCUGCAUGGCUGUCGUCAGCUCGUGUUGUGAAAUGUUGGGUUAAGUCCCGCAACGAGCGCAACCCUUAUCCUUUGUUGCCAGCGGUUCGGCCGGGAACUCAAAGGAGACUGCCGGUGAUAAACCGGAGGAAGGUGGGGAUGACGU